rnacentral:ncRNA from 1 species
AUAUGCCGCUUGGAAUCAUGAUGCUGUGGGCGGCAUAGCGUAAUAGCCGACCAUCACGGGGAUCUUGUCAGGUCGGCAGGUAUAGCCAGCACGGGCCGAAAGUAGGCGCUUGGAAGAACUCCCGCCCAUGUUUCAGGUUUCCGAAUUUUAUAGGCGCGUGCUGCCGUGAGCCUACAAGGGGUAGCCCUCAGCGGUGAGGGCUAGAAGUCACGGACGCCU